CAUAGACUCUAAUGUUAAAAUGGCUCAGAAGGUUCGUUUGAAAAUCAGAAGAGCAUGGUGUCUUUCCACUGUCACCACGUCCAUAUAAUAAACUCCACAAGCAUGAAAAUUGAGAAUUCAGUAGACUGGACCUUGCUGCCACUCACGGUGAAAGAAUUUUGUCAGUGCGACUUGUACUUUUUAUUUGGGAAGGAUUUGUUUCGGCCUGACUUUUCUGUUCAUUUUAAGCAGCAAAAGUGAGGUGCAUGUCUGUGUGUGUGUAUGGAGCCAUUGGGUGCAGUCACUAUAGCAACCAGGCUCACACCUGCCUGCUUAACGAGCUCUGUCUCACUCUGCCAAGGUUAAUUGUAAAAAUGUCUGUUGAUUCAUCUUAAAAAUUUCUGUUACAACAAAGCGGUUGGAGUUAGAUUAAGUCAACAGGUUCAACAAGUCAGAUUUGACAGGGUUUUGCCACAGAUUAAAAGUAUGUCAGCAGUUAGUAUAAGCCGACUGAAUAGAGCAUUCUCCUUGGCCUUUUAAAUUCAAGCUUAUUGUGUAUUGGUGGACUUGUCUUCUGCACACAGGUUUUUCAGAUCUGGGCAGUUGGAGUCAGUUGAUGACUUUUAAAUACUCCUUUCUGUCUGGAUAAUUAAAGCUCACAGCAUCUACCUGUCUGUAGUGGAUUUUCCCACAUUUUAAAUGAUGUAAUCUCAUUUAAUGUCUCUGUUUUUAGUCUGUAUAGUUUUUCUCCCUACGAAUACACUCAAAGUAGUCUUAAAAUAAAACCCACAAAACAAUUCAAGAUGAAAUACUUUUUAUUUUCUCGUUUAAUGCCCGUUGCCCUCUUUCUCUGUAUGUCACUCAUUUGCUAAUACUCAGGCAAAAAGUACCAAUUUGUAUGCUGAUGUGUCUUGUGUAUUUUUUUUUACCUCUGUCUCUCUAUGACAGAGAAAUGUAUAUGCUCAAUAUUGCUGUUCAAACUGAUGCUCAAAUUACCAAGCACUACCUGAACGCCUCAUCGGUCUUUAACGAAUCACUGCACCAACUGUCGUCAUUCCGCUUUGCUCUCUGCUGUGGAACUUGACUGACAUCUGUGCUUUGCCUGUGUGCAGAAGAACAAGGACCAGAUCUCCAGUCUUCUCUGUCACAUCCCAACCCCACAUCCCCUCUAUCCUCUGUCCUGCUCCACCUGUUGUCUCUGCCUUCUUUCCAUCUGUAUUUCACCCUGUGGUUUGUGAGAAAUUUUGCCAAACCAAGAAUCUUAUUGCGGUUUGAUUUCAAAGCCGUGUCUCUCCUGCUCUGUCUGUUCUCUCUGCUAAAUUUUCUCUCUACCUGUUUUUCACUCUUUGGCUUGCUGCUGAGAAAUGCACAAGCCAAUAAAGCAAUAAAGAGUGCAUAUUUUGCCUCAACCUUUGAACAAACUGAACAAACAAAGAAAACUCUACGGUUUGAUUUCAAAACCGUGUCUUUCCUGCUCUCUCUGUUCUCUCUGCUAAAUUUUCUCUCUACCUGUUUUUCACUCUUUGGCUUGCUGCUGAGAAAUGCACAAGCCAAUAAAGCAAUAAAGAGUGCAUAUUUUGCCUCAACCUUUGAACAAACUGAACAAAGAAAACUCUGCGGUUUGAUUUCCAAGCCGUGUCUCUCCUGCUCUGCCUGUUCUCUCUGCUAAAUUUUCUCUCUACCUGUUUUUCACUCUUGGCUUGCUGCUGAAAAAUGCCAAGCCAUUAAAGCAAUAAAGAGUGCAUAUUGCCUCUACCUGAGAACAAACUGAACAAAUAAAGAAAACUCUAAUUCACGGUUUGAUUGUCAUUUCCCAGCCGCGUCUCUCCUGCUCUGUCUAUUCUCUCUUCUAAAUUUUCUCUCUACCUGUUUUUCAUUCUGGGCUUGCUGCUAAGUUGUGCCAAGCCAAUAAAGAGAGUACAUAAUAUUCUCUCGACUGACAAACUGUCAAACAAACAAAGACAUUGUUUCUGAGAAAUAAAAGCUGAAAUAUAAAGACAAAGAAAACAUC